rnacentral:rRNA from 1 species
AACGAACGCUGGCGGCGUGCCUAACACAUGCAAGUCGUGCGAGAAAGUUCCUUCGGGAGCGAGUAAAGCGGCGCACGGGUGAGUAACACGUAGGUAACCUGCCCCCCAGUCUGGAACAACUAGAGGAAACUCUAGCUAAUGCCGGAUGAGACCACGAUCCCUUCGGGGUUGCGGCCAAAGAUGGCCUCUACUUGUAAGCUAUCGCUGAGGGAUGGGCCUGCGGGCCAUUAGCUUGUUGGUGAGGUAACGGCUCACCAAGGCUGUGAUGGCUAGCUGGUCUGAGAGGAUGACCAGCCACACUGGGACUGAGACACGGCCCAGACUCCUACGGGAGGCAGCAGUGGGAAUAUUGCGCAAUGGGCAAAAGCCUGACGCAGCGACGCCGCGUGGGUGAUGAAGGCCUCGGUCGGUAAAGACCUGUCGCAGGGAAGGAAGUAAA